AUUCACUUGUCGGAGUGCCAUAAGGCUGAGACCGUUUAUUCGGGAUCCGUUGAACCUGAUCUGGUUAGUACCAGCGAAGGGAACAGGAGAAGAUACUUA
rfam:Vibrio mytili strain CAIM 528 contig00093, whole genome shotgun sequence.